rnacentral:rRNA from 1 species
GGUCAAGCGAACAAGUGCAUGUGGUGGAUGCCUUGGCGAUCACAGGCGAUGAAGGACGCGGUAGCCUGCGAAAAGCUACGGGGAGCUGGCAAACAAGCUUUGAUCCGUAGAUGUCCGAAUGGGGAAACCCACUCCUUUUGGAGUAUCCAUGGCUGAAUACAUAGGCCAUGUGAAGCGAACGCGGUGAACUGAAACAUCUAAGUAACCGCAGGAAAAGAAAUCAACCGAGAUUCCCAAAGUAGUGGCGAGCGAAAUGGGAUGAGCCUUGCACUCUUUAUUUGUAUUGUUAGCCGAACGCUCUGGAAAGUGCGGCCAUAGCAGGUGAUAGCCCUGUAGGCGAAAACAGUAUGAAAGAACUAGGUGUGCGACAAGUAGGGCGGGACACGUGAAAUCCUGUCUGAAGAUGGGGGGACCAUCCUCCAAGGCUAAAUACUCGUGAUCGACCGAUAGUGAACCAGUACCGUGAGGGAAAGGCGAAAAGAACCCCGGGAGGGGAGUGAAAUAGAUCCUGAAACCGCAUGCAUACAAACAGUCGGAGCCUCGUAAGGGGUGACGGCGUACCUUUUGUAUAAUGGGUCAGCGACUUACGUUCAGUAGCAAGCUUAACCGUAUAGGGCAGGCGUAGCGAAAGCGAGUCCGAAUAGGGCGUUCAGUUGCUGGGCGUAGACCCGAAACCAGGUGAUCUAUCCAUGGCCAGGAUGAAGGUGCGGUAACACGUACUGGAGGUCCGAACCCACUAACGUUGAAAAGUUAGGGGAUGAGCUGUGGAUAGGGGUGAAAGGCUAAACAAACCUGGAAAUAGCUGGUUCUCUCCGAAAACUAUUUAGGUAGUGCCUCGUGUCUCACCUUCGGGGGUAGAGCACUGUCAUGGUUGGGGGGUCUAUUGCAGAUUACCCCGCCAUAGCAAACUCCGAAUACCGAAGAGUGCAAUCACGGGAGACAGACAUCGGGUGCUAACGUCCGGUGUCAAGAGGGAAACAACCCAGACCGCCAGCUAAGGUCCCCAAAUAUAGCUAAGUGGGAAACGAAGUGGGAAGGCUAAAACAGUCAGGAGGUUGGCUUAGAAGCAGCCACCCUUUAAAGAAAGCGUAAUAGCUCACUGAUCGAGUCGUCCUGCGCGGAAGAUGUAACGGGGCUAAGCUAUAUACCGAAGCUGCGGAUGCG